AGUUUAAUGGUCAGAAUGGGCGCUUGUCGCGUGCCAGAUCGGGGUUCAAUUCCCCG
rnacentral:tRNA from 1 species